ACUCGAGUGGCGAACGGGUGAGUAACACGUGGGCAAUCUGCCCUGCACUCUGGGAUAAGCCUGGGAAACUGGGUCUAAUACUGGAUAGGACCUUUCUCCUCAUGGGGUUUGGUGGAAAGUUUUUCGGUGCAGGAUGAGCCCGCGGCCUAUCAGCUUGUUGGUGGGGUAAUGGCCUACCAAGGCGACGACGGGUAGCCGGCCUGAGAGGGUGAUCGGCCACAUUGGGACUGAGAUACGGCCCAGACUCCUACGGGAGGCAGCAGCG
rnacentral:rRNA from 1 species